rnacentral:rRNA from 1 species
AGUGAACGCUGGCGGCGUGCUUAACACAUGCAAGUCGAACGGAUGAAAUAAGCUUGCUUAUUUCGUUAGUGGCGCACGGGUGAGUAAUGUAUAGCUAACCUGCCCUUUAGUGGGGGACAACAGUUGGAAACGACUGCUAAUACCCCAUAUUCCUUCUUAUCAUAAGGUAAGUUGGGAAAGAUUUAUUGCUAAAGGAUGGGGCUUUAUGGUAUCAGCUAGUUGGUGGGGUAACGGCCUACCAAGGCUAUGACGCCUACCUGGUCUGAGAGGAUGAUCAGGCACACUGGAACUGAGACACGGUCCAGACUCCUACGGGAGGCAGCAGUGGGGAAUAUUGCACAAUGGAGGAAACUCUGAUGCAGCAACGCCGCGUGGAGGAUGACGCAUUUCGGUGUGUAAACUCCUUUUAUAAGGGAAGAUAAUGACGGUACCUUAUGAAUAAGCACCGGCUAACUCCGUGCCAGCAGCCGCGGUAAAGUCAC